GACGAACCGUGCGAACGUUAUUCGGAAUCACUGGGCUUAAAGGGCGCGUAGGCGGGCGGCUUUGUCAGGGGUGAAAUCUUUCGGCCCAACCGGAAGACUGCCUCUGAGACGGGCCGUCUCGAGGGAGGUAGGGGCAUGCGGAACUUCCGGUGGAGCGGUGAAAUGCGUAGAUAUCGGAAGGAACGCCGGUGGCGAAAGCGGCGUGCUGGACCUCUUCUGACGCUGAGGCGCGAAAGCCAGGGGAGCAAACGGG
rnacentral:rRNA from 1 species